UCCUAAUUUAUAUUAGGUAUAACCUGCUCACUGAAUCUUUUAAAAGCCGCAGUAUCCUGACUGUGCUAAGGUAGCAUAAUCAUUUGUUAUCUAAAUGAUAACUAGUAUGAAUGGUCUGACGAGAAAAUAACUUUCUAAAAAGAAAAAAAAUUAAAUUAAUUUAAAAGUAAAAAAGCUUUUAAGCUUUAGAAAGACGAGAAGACCCUAGAACCUGUUCUAUUUCCUAUAGUUUGUUGGGGUGACAUUAUUCAAAACAAAUAACUAUUAAAAUUUUAAUUGACUCUAUCCUUUUAUUAAAAAAAAAAAAGGUACUCUAGGGAUAACAGCAUAAUCUUCUUCUAGAGCCCUAAUCGACAAGAAAGAUUUUGACCUCG
rnacentral:rRNA from 1 species